rnacentral:rRNA from 1 species
CUCAACUUGGGAAUUGCGCUUGUGACUGCAAGGCUAGAGCAUGUCAGAGGGGGGUAGAAUUCCACGUGUAGCAGUGAAAUGCGUAGAGAUGUGGAGGAAUACCGAUGGCGAAGGCAGCCCCCUGGGACGUCACUGACGCUCAUGCACGAAAGCGUGGGGAGCAAACAGGAUUAGAUACCCUGGUAGUCCACGCCCUAAACGAUGUCAACUAGUUGUUGGGGAUUCAUUUCUUCAGUAACGUAGCUAACGCGUGAAGUUGACCGCCUGGGGAGUACGGUCGCAAGAUUAAAACUCAAAGGAAUUGACGGGGACCCGCACAAGCGGUGGAUGAUGUGGAUUAAUUCGAUGCAACGCGAAAAACCUUACCUACCCUUGACGUGCCACUAACGAAGCAGAAAUGCAUCAGGUGCCCGAAAGGGAAAGU